GGUUAAGCGACUAAGCGUACACGGUGGAUGCCCUGGCAGUCAGAGGCGAUGAAGGGCGUGCUAAUCUGCGAUAAGCGCCGGUAAGGUGAUAUGAACCGUUAUAACCGGCGAUACCCGAAUGGGGAAACCCAGUGUGAUUCGUCACACUAUCAUUAACUGAAUCCAUAGGUUAAUGAGGCGAACCGGGGGAACUGAAACAUCUAAGUACCCCGAGGAAAAGAAAUCAACCGAGAUUCCCCCAGUAGCGGCGAGCGAACGGGGAGGAGCCCAGAGCCUGAAUCAGCAUGUGUGUUAGUGGAAGCGUCUGGAAAGGCGCGCGAUACAGGGUGACAGCCCCGUACACAAAAGCGCAUGUGCUGUGAGCUCGAUGAGUAGGGCGGGACACGUGGUAUCCUGUCUGAAUAUGGGGGGACCAUCCUCCAAGGCUAAAUACUCCUGACUGACCGAUAGUGAACCAGUACCGUGAGGGAAAGGCGAAAAGAACCCCGGCGAGGGGAGUGAAAAAGAACCUGAAACCGUGUACGUACAAGCAGUGGGAGCACAGGUUUACCUGUGUGACUGCGUACCUUUUGUAUAAUGGGUCAGCGACUUAUAUUCUGUAGCAAGGUUAACCGUAUAGGGGAGCCGGAGGGAAACCGAGUCUUAACCGGGCGUUAAGUUGCAGGGUAUAGACCCGAAACCCGGUGAUCUAGCCAUGGGCAGGUUGAAGGUUGGGUAACACUAACUGGAGGACCGAACCGACUAAUGUUGAAAAAUUAGCGGAUGACCUGUGGCUGGGGGUGAAAGGCCAAUCAAACCGGGAGAUAGCUGGUUCUCCCCGAAAGCUAUUUAGGUAGCGCCUCGUGAAUUCAUCUCCGGGGGUAGAGCACUGUUUCGGCUAGGGGGCCAUCCCGGCUUACCAACCCGAUGCAAACUGCGAAUACCGGAGAAUGUUAUCACGGGAGACACACGGCGGGUGCUAACGUCCGUCGUGAAGAGGGAAACAACCCAGACCGCCAGCUAAGGUCCCAAAGUCAUGGUUAAGUGGGAAACGAUGUGGGAAGGCCCAGACAGCCAGGAUGUUGGCUUAGAAGCAGCCAUCAUUUAAAGAAAGCGUAAUAGCUCACUGGUCGAGUCGGCCUGCGCGGAAGAUGUAACGGGGCUAAACCAUGCACCGAAGCUGCGGCAGCGAACGUAUCACUUAAAGCGAUUCAGCGGGUUACGAUUGACGGAGCGAAGCGACGUCAAAGCGUAUACAAAGUCGAGUCGGUUUAAGGAUACGUUCGUUGGGUAGGGGAGCGUUCUGUAAGCCUGUGAAGGUGUGUCGUGAGGCAUGCUGGAGGUAUCAGAAGUGCGAAUGCUGACAUAAGUAACGAUAAAGCGGGUGAAAAGCCCGCUCGCCGGAAGACCAAGGGUUCCUGUCCAACGUUAAUCGGGGCAGGGUGAGUCGACCCCUAAGGCGAGGCCGAAAGGCGUAGUCGAUGGGAAACGGGUUAAUAUUCCCGUACUUGGUGUUACUGCGAAGGGGGGACGGAGAAGGCUAUGUUGGCCGGGCGACGGUUGUCCCGGUUUAAGCGUGUAGGUGUGUGUUCCAGGUAAAUCCGGUUCACUUUAACACUGAGGCGUGAUGACGAGGCACUACGGUGCUGAAGCAACAAAUGCCCUGCUUCCAGGAAAAGCCUCUAAGCAUCAGGUAACAUCAAAUCGUACCCCAAACCGACACAGGUGGUCAGGUAGAGAAUACCAAGGCGCUUGAGAGAACUCGGGUGAAGGAACUAGGCAAAAUGGUGCCGUAACUUCGGGAGAAGGCACGCUGACACGUAGGUGAAGUGAUUUACUCAUGGAGCUGAAGUCAGUCGAAGAUACCAGCUGGCUGCAACUGUUUAUUAAAAACACAGCACUGUGCAAACACGAAAGUGGACGUAUACGGUGUGACGCCUGCCCGGUGCCGGAAGGUUAAUUGAUGGGGUCAGCGCAAGCGAAGCUCCUGAUCGAAGCCCCGGUAAACGGCGGCCGUAACUAUAACGGUCCUAAGGUAGCGAAAUUCCUUGUCGGGUAAGUUCCGACCUGCACGAAUGGCGUAAUGAUGGCCAGGCUGUCUCCACCCGAGACUCAGUGAAAUUGAACUCGCUGUGAAGAUGCAGUGUACCCGCGGCAAGACGGAAAGACCCCGUGAACCUUUACUAUAGCUUGACACUGAACAUUGAGCCUUGAUGUGUAGGAUAGGUGGGAGGCUUUGAAGCGUGGACGCCAGUCUGCGUGGAGCCGACCUUGAAAUACCACCCUUUAAUGUUUGAUGUUCUAACGUGGACCCGUAAUCCGGGUUGCGGACAGUGUCUGGUGGGUAGUUUGACUGGGGCGGUCUCCUCCUAAAGAGUAACGGAGGAGCACGAAGGUUGGCUAAUCCUGGUCGGACAUCAGGAGGUUAGUGCAAUGGCAUAAGCCAGCUUGACUGCGAGCGUGACGGCGCGAGCAGGUGCGAAAGCAGGUCAUAGUGAUCCGGUGGUUCUGAAUGGAAGGGCCAUCGCUCAACGGAUAAAAGGUACUCCGGGGAUAACAGGCUGAUACCGCCCAAGAGUUCAUAUCGACGGCGGUGUUUGGCACCUCGAUGUCGGCUCAUCACAUCCUGGGGCUGAAGUAGGUCCCAAGGGUAUGGCUGUUCGCCAUUUAAAGUGGUACGCGAGCUGGGUUUAGAACGUCGUGAGACAGUUCGGUCCCUAUCUGCCGUGGGCGCUGGAGAACUGAGGGGGGCUGCUCCUAGUACGAGAGGACCGGAGUGGACGCAUCACUGGUGUUCGGGUUGUCAUGCCAAUGGCACUGCCCGGUAGCUAAAUGCGGAAGAGAUAAGUGCUGAAAGCAU
rnacentral:rRNA from 2 species